rnacentral:misc_RNA from 1 species
GCAGAAUUUAGGAGUUCAUUACAGACAAACCAGCUUUUCAGUUUAGGGGCAUGAUGAAACUAGCAGGUACCAAUUACUGAGGGGAUCUAAGUUACCCAAGUAUCAUCAUGAUGCUUCAGUUUGUUAUGGAUAUGCUGUAGAGACUUGACAUGGAUCUUUCCUUACCUUGUGAUUUGACAGUUGCAGUUAAAAAAAAAAACAAAACGAAAAUUAUGAAACCUUCUACAAGAUUGAAUUUGAACAUGCUUCAUUUGGAUGCUCAAUCAACCAGCUUUGUGAGAACAACAGGAAACAGAAGCAGCUCAUACACCAAUUUUUUUGUUUUAAAUUGUCCCACUAAUUGUAUUUUAUUUUCCAGGAGCAAUCUCCCACCAUUUAAUGCAGAUACUCUUUCUAAGGAGAGGGGAGAAAGAAGAAAACUCUCUUCCUCGACAUGCAGAGGGGGUGUGGGUAGACAGCAAGAGUGAUUCUUAAGAUAAAUGUUCCUAACAUUGCUCCUCCUGCCUCUCCAUGUCGCAUAUGAUAGGAAAAAGAUUAUGUUGAUUCCACCAUGGUACCUGGUACAGACUACAUAAAUGGUGGAUGGAUACAGGAAUUGCUGAAUGAGUUCAUCGGAAAUGCAACAUGACCUAUACUAACUAAAAUGUGCAGAUCACAGUUGAUCUGAUCCAAUUAGACAGUAAAGACACAAAACAUAAGUCAUCCAUCAUGUAGUAAAAAAGGUCCAGAUCUUUUUCCCUAUGGAAACUUCACCAGGAUGCUCCAACUCAUCAUCAACAUCAUAGUCCUCUUCAUCCUCCUCAUGGAUUGUGCUGCCAUUCUCAUCUUCAUCCCCAUAUUCUGUAGUACCAUUUACUUCCUCACUCAACUCCAUAAUCUCAAUAGAUUUUGAUAUGUCAGCCCUGACUGCCCUAUCCUGUGAGAACUCCACAUUUUUUAGUGUUGUGACCUUCAAUGCAUCUGUAGACUUGCCAGUCUCACUAGCAACUCCAAGUGACGAUGCAAGCGCAGUUUCAGGUUUUCGUGUUGGUUCAACAGAAGCACCGCCAUCAGCUUCUUUCUCCCCUGUCUUGGUCAAGCCAGAAAAUGCUUCAUUGGCAGAGGGUGCCCCAGCAGUCCUGUGUCGCCUAAGAUUGUAGCGCUUUUGCCCUGGAGUAAUUGCUGAAGCCACCAUUUGUCGCCUCUUCCUGCGACCACCAGUUGUGACACUCUCGGAACAUCCUUCACUAUCACCAGCAUCCUGCUCAGUUUCAGUUGGUGCACGUUCCCGCUUCCUGGCAAUGUUGCUGGCUGGCUUCUCUAUACUUUCAUCAAUGUUUUGAUAAAUAUCAUUAGACUGUACAUUUUUUGCAUAAUGUUCAGGUCCUUCUGAGCUUUUCUCAAGAAACAGCUUUGCAUCUUCAACGACUGCUUUAACUGAACGUGUUCUACUUAUUCCACCCUUGCGUCUCCUCCCAGGUUUACUUCGACUACUCUUCAGCUCAGAUUGUUCAGCAUCCUCUACCUUACUGUCCAUAUUACCGUGAUCAUCAACAGACAUGGAAUAUCCAUCUCCCUUUCCUUUAAUGGCAUCAAAAUGAAGCUGCUCAAAUUCAUCUCCAGCAACACUACCUCUAGCUGCUUUACUGGCAAGCAUACCAAAUCCAUCAGUCUUUUCUUCUGCCAAAAUUGGAACUGAAACAUGCUCUUUCUUUUUAGUAGGUGAUAUGCUAAAAAUCUUCGAAGUGCAUUUACGGAACCAAGACAUGUGCUCUUGAGAAUUGGAAUAUCCCAAAUCAUGUUCACUAGGAGAUCUGUUGACAUUCAUAACAACAGUAACAUCCACAUCAUCUUGAUCAUUCCUCAAAAUUUCAUCCGCUUGCCUUUGAAGGGGAAGGAUCCUCCUGUCUUCCAUGUCAGGAGGCAGAAGAUCAGAAAGUAUAAACUCACUAGUAAUGUCUACACAGUUCUUGCAGCUCUUAUGCUUCUCAACAAAUGUAAGGAAGAGAUUUCUGUCCCUGAUAACCUGUUCCCGUUGGUCCCGAAGCUUAUUGCUAAGCAUCACAAGCUCAUCAAUGUCUUUUUGCAUUCCAAUUUGCUGUCCCUCUAGCUUCUCCUUGUUUUUAGCAACUUCUUGCUUUUCUUUUUCUAUUUUAUGCUUUUCAGCGCGUAUUUCUUCCAAUUCCUUAUGAGCAACUUCUUUUAAGUAACUUAUAUCCUUACGUUCUCUCUCCCUCUGCUCAUCAAAUAACCUCUCCCUUUCUCGCAUGGCUUUCUCCAUUGCCUCCCGCCUACUCACCAGAUUAGCCUCAAAAUUGCUUCUCUGUGAUUCAAAGUUUCGCACCAUUUGAUCAUGCUCCAUUUCAGCAUUUUCGGAUAAAACAAGCUGCUCACGCUUCUUUCUCACUUCAAAUGAUUCUUUUUCAAGUCUAACAGCCUCCAACUCCCUCUGAAUGUACUCCUUCAUUGCAUUUUCGUCUUUCUUCAGCCUUUCCUGUUCAUUGCACUGCAACUUCACAAAAUGCUUCCUCUCUUCAGUAAUUUUGUUUAGCUCCUUACUAAGUUGAGUUCUUUUCCCUUCCAGCACUUCCCACUCCUUCUCAAACUUAUCUCUGUCCUCUUUCAAAUCUUCGCUUUCUUUUAAAAGGAAUUCCUCAUGACGCCUGCACUUCUCCAAUUCCUGUUUCAAUUCUGCCUGCAACCGGAGGUGCUCUAACCUCUCAUUACUAGUUAUUUUAAGAUUUUCACUCUUUUCACCAAUCUGCAAUUCCUGCUGAGCAAUUUCAGACCUUAUCUUCUCACCGUCAUCUUUGAGAACUUGCAAGCUCUCUUUAUCAGAAAGCAAUUUUUGAUGAUCAAGGUCCAACUUUUUCUGCUCAGCCUUCAUAGACUUUUCUUUAUCCUUCAAACCUUUUGUUUUUAUAUCAAGGUCCUUUUCUUUCUCCUUCACUCUCUCCAACUUCCUAUCCAAAGCUUGUUCUCGUUUCCUCAAUUUUUCCUCUCUAUGAAGAAUUUCAACUUCACGUUGCCCUAAUACCUCAACCUUGCUUCUCAAUUCAUCAUCAAGAUCCUUCCUCUUAUCCUCUAGUUCUAACUCAAGCUCUUGCGUUUUAGUAUCCAGAGAAGCCCGAUGCUCAUCAAGAAGCUGCUGAACUUCCACUUUUUCUCUAGCACUAAGAUUUUCUUCCAAGGCAAGUAAGUCAUUCUCCUUCCUCUCCAGGAUGCUUCUCAUAGAGUCAGCUUUCUUCUCCUUUGCAGUCAAAUCUGAGAGUCGAUUAUUUAUAUCAUCUUCCUUUUCCUUCAACUUUGCAAAAGAUAAAUCAAUCUUCUUUUCAGUCUCCUCUAGAUCCCUGUUUUUCUGCUCAAGAAUCUUGUCAUUUUCAUUUGCCUUUUCCUCUCUGUGGUUGAGAGUUCUUCGAAGGUCACAUAAUCUCUCUUCAUCUUUCUGUAGUUUCCUCUCCCACUCAAGUAAAUCUUCUCUUUGUUUGUAGAAAGUUGCCUCGUGUGCUUCUCUCUCAGUAUUUAAAGAGAGACGCUCCCUCUGAAGCACACUUUCACGAGCUUCCAACUCUUGCAAUUUCACAUCCAACUCUGAAUUCUUUCUGUUGAUUUCAGCAAGCUUGGCUUCAGCAACACGCAUCUUUUCUUCCACCUCCACAGAUUUUUCUUCCAUCCCAACAGCUAAAGCUUUUGCAUCAGCCAACUUUGAAUCAGAAGCAUGCUUGAUCCGUGCACGCUCCUCUUGCAAGUCACGGAAAGCCUUUUCAAAAUCAGCCACACACUGCCUCUCAGUGCUUAAAGCUUUUCUUAAAUUUCCCUCCCUCUUCUCAGCUUCAGAGAAUGCAAUUCUAUGUGCUGACUGCUCACGCCUAAGGAUCUCCUGAGUUUCUGCUAAUGCUUGCCUUAGUUCUUCAUAUUUCAAAUUCCACUCUUUCUUCUCAAUAAGGAGAAGCCCCAUAUUAUAUUGGUAAUCAAAAAGCUCCUUUUCAAGCCUCGAGGCCUUCUCAAGAAGCGCCUGACGGUCCUUUCUCUCCAUGACCACUUCAUCUAAUAGACCCGCUUCCUUAAACCGCUUCCAAUCACCCAUAUCUUCACUAUCCAACUCCGCACCAUUACCACUCAGCGAACCCAACGGCGGUGGAAGCGGCGGCGGCGGCAGCGGCGGUGGCAUUGAUCCAUCAGUAAACGCUACCUCUUUACCCUUACCUCCAAUCUUCAGGUUAGUCGAAGCCACAUUUACGGCACCGCUCUUACGCACCUCGCUUCGAGGAGUUAAUGUAAUCGCUGGCGACUGCCUCCUCUGCGGUGUGAACAUAACGCAAUCCGAAUAAAAGAAUCGAAAGACGAUAAAAUUCAAUCUUCGAUUGCAAACGCAAAGAACUGAACCUGAACCCUAAUUGCGGCGCUUCCGUGUAAUGUGGUCCAACGGAAGUACGCCGAUCAACGGAGUUUAUGAGGGGAAAUUGAAACCUUAGAAUUUGAAAGUUUGUUUGGAUGGGUGUGAAGGACGGGGAAAGAAGGAUAAGUGAGAGAGUUGGGGUAAUCGGUGAUGUGUGAGAGAAGGGGCUACGCUUUGGAUGAGAGGAAGUGGAAGGAAGGAAAUUAAGAGGAAUAUGACUUUGCAAGGACUGGAAGCAUUGCAACGGAAAAGGUAGAACUUAAGGAAGGUCCUUUGGAGCAGUUUACCCAUGAGAUGGAGCCCUUUCUUCGCAAGCAAGGAAUGCCUGUUCGGUUGAACAAGGGUACAUAAUUGCUAUUUGCUGUUUGGUGUCCCUUAUAUAGACGUGAAUAUGUAUAUAGCUUGUGAUGCACGACCAAUUUAAUUAUGGUCUGCAGGUGUUGUGGAGCUAGUUUCAGACUUUGUUGUGUGUGAAGAGGGAAAGCAUUUGUCACCUGAGUCUGCUCGAAUACUGGUUAGUUAGUCUUCCCAAUUUUUUAUUCUUCUUUUGGGUAAUCGGGAGGUUAUUAGACCUUGGGUUUCAAGUAUAGCCAUCUUUAAUGUCUCAUCUUACAAGCCUUCAAUCAAGUUUCGUUCGAAUGAGUUUAAAUGUGGUGAUUGGUCUUUUAACUUGAUUAGUAAAUCACUAUGGUUGGAAAAUUUGUCUUCCCACCUUGGAUUAGGGUGAUUCUUUCCUUUCUGAUUGUGUAUUUAUGGAAAUUGCAAUCCAGUGUAUGUGUAUGUACUCUUUGUCAUAGCAUAAAAAAUGUUGCAAGUUCAUUGCUGAUGCAUUCCUUAUUAGCGUGCUUUGAUGCGUGAUGUGUUACUGGCUUGCAGUUCAAUGAUGAUCCAACUUGUCAGGUUACCAUUAUUCUUUUGAUCCAUUAACUUGCAUUAUUGCAUCUGUUGUGGAAUAGUGGAUGCUAUACGAGUUUAUAUCCCACAAAUUCUAUGCUCUUUUUUAAUAUACUUCUGUUAUUAUCUGGUCCUGUCCAUUGGCUAUCAAACUUUGUGAUUGGUUUUCAAAUGUAGCCGAUUCCGUCUGUCUGAGCCACUGUGGAUUUGAAAUUUGGUUAUGCUGACUAGCAUAGAUUUAGCGCACAGCUGCUGCUAAUUUUAUUGUCAGCAGCAGUUCAUUUUGUCUGACUAGCUACUUUUACCCAAUUCUUAAUUAUAGUCAGAGAAAGUGAUUGAUCUAUUACUUAUUUGCAGCGAUUAUUGGGCAUUAAGAUGGCUACUUUCCGACUUCACUUAAUUUGCAGAUGGAGUCCUGAAGAUUUUGAGCUUUAUAGAGAAGGGCAAGAUGAGUCAGAUGUGGAAUCUGCAUAAAACAGUGUGGCUUUAGUCUAUAUACUCCUUGAAUUUAUGUAAAAUCCUGCUAUGAGAUCGAUCCAUCUAAAUCGUAUGUAAUACAAGUUAAUGCAGUCCAGUAGGCUGUGUGUGUGCGUGUUUGCAGUGCGUAGUAAUAGAGGAGCUUUGUACCUUUGGUUAAUCAAAGGAAGCUUCUUGUUUUAUUAUUCAAUUUUGUCUGCAAGCUGCUGGGUCUGAUUUUUGUUUUCAUUUGUUUUGACUACUAUGACGAAGAAAUUAGAAACAGAUUAUUUUGUUUACUCUGUUUGUAGAAUGACCACAUGUUAGUCAUAAUCUUUUCAUCAUUUGAGAGCAAGAAACAGGCUGUUGUGGGAAGGCAAACUAUUGUUAGUAGUAUU